AACGAACGCUGGCGGCAUGCCUAACACAUGCAAGUCGAACGAGACCUUCGGGUCUAGUGGCGCACGGGUGCGUAACGCGUGGGAACCUGCCCUUAGGUUCGGAAUAACUCCCCGAAAGGGGUGCUAAUACCGGAUAAUGUCUUCGGACCAAAGAUUUAUCGCCUUUGGAUGGGCCCGCGUUGGAUUAGCUAGUUGGUAGGGUAAAAGCCUAUCGAGGCGACGAUCCAUAGCUGGUCUGAGAGGAUGAUCAGCCACACUGGGACUGAGACACGGCCCAGACUCCUACGGAGAGCAGCAGUGUGGAAUAUAGGACGAGGAGCGAAAACCUGAUCCAGCAGUGCCGGGUGAGUGAUGAUGGCCUUAGGGUUGUAAAGCUCUUUUACCCGGGAUGAUAAUGACAGUACCGGGAGAAUAAGCUCCGGCUAACUCCGUG
rnacentral:rRNA from 1 species